rnacentral:rRNA from 1 species
AUUGAACGCUGGCGGCAGGCCUAACACAUGCAAGUCGAACGGUAGCACAGAGAGCUUGCUCUCGGGUGACGAGUGGCGGACGGGUGAGUAACGUCUGGGAAACUGCCCGAUGGAGGGGGAUAACUACUGGAAACGGUAGCUAAUACCGCAUAACGUCGCAAGACCAAAGUGGGGGACCUUCGGGCCUCACACCAUCGGAUGUGCCCAGAUGGGAUUAGCUAGUAGGUGGGGUAAUGGCUCACCUAGGCGACGAUCCCUAGCUGGUCUGAGAGGAUGACCAGCCAAACUGGAAAUGGGACACGGUCCAGACUCCUACGGGAGGCAGCAGUGGGGAAUAUUGCACAAUGGGCGCAAGCCUGAUGCAGCCAUGCCGCGUGUAUGAAGAAGGCCUUCGGGUUGUAAAGUACUUUCAGCGGGGAGGAAGGCGGUGAAGUUAAUAGCUUCACCGAUUGACGUUACCCGCAGAAGAAGCACCGGCUAACUCCGUGCCAGCAGCCGCCGCGG